rnacentral:rRNA from 1 species
UCUUUUCGGAGCACUGGAGACAGGUGGUGCAUGGUUGUCGUCAGCUCGUGUCGUGAGAUGUUGGGUUAAGUCCCGCAACGAGCGCAACCCUUAUCUUUAGUAGCCAGCAUUUGAGGUGGGCACUCUAGAGAGACUGCCAGGGACAACCUGGAGGAAGGUGGGGAUGACGUCAAAUCAUCAUGCCCCUUAUGACCAGGGCUACACACGUGCUACAAUGGCGUAAACAAAGGGAAGCAAGCAUGUGAAUGUGAGCAAAUCCCAAAAAUAACGUCUCAGUUCGGAUUGUAGUCUGCAACUCGACUACAUGAAGCUGGAAUCGCUAGUAAUCGCGAAUCAGAAUGUCGCGGUGAAUACGUUCCCGGGUCUUGUACACACCGCCCGUCACACCAUGGGAGUCAGUAACGCCCGAAGCCGGUGACCCAACCAAUCGGAGGGAGCCGUCGAAGGUGGGACCGAUAACUGGGGUGAAGUCGUAACAAGGUAGCCGU